CGGGACGGGUGAGUAAUGUCUGGGAAACUGCCUGAUGGAGGGGGAUAACUACUGGAAACGGUAGCUAAUACCGCAUAACGUCGCAAGACCAAAGAGGGGGACCUUCGGGCCUCUUGCCAUCGGAUGUGCCCAGAUGGGAUUAGCUAGUAGGCGGGGUAACGACUCACCUAGGCGACGAUCCCUAGCUGGUCUGAGAGGAUGACCAGCCACACUGGAACUGAGACACGGUCCAG
rnacentral:rRNA from 1 species